UAUAACUUAGUGGCAGACGGGGUGAAGUAAUGUAUAGGGAAUCUACCUAGUAGUACGGAAUAAUUGUUGGAAACGACAACUAAUACCGUAUACGCCCUACGGGGGAAAAAUUUAUUGCUAUUAGAUGAGCCUAUAUUAGAUUAGCUAGUUGGUGGGGUAAUAGCCUACCAAGGUAAUGAUCUAUAGCUGAUCUGAGAGGAUGAUCAGCCACACUGGAACUGAGAUACGGUCCAGACUCCUACGGGAGGCAGCAGUGGGGAAUAUUGGACAAUGGGCGAAAGCCUGAUCCAGCCAUGCCGCAUGAGUGAAGAAGGCCUUUGGGUUGUAAAGCUCUUUUAGUGAGGAAGAUAAUGACGGUACUCACAGAAGAAGUCCUGGCUAACUCCGUGCCAGCAGCCGCGGUAAUACGGAGAGGGCUAGCGUUAUUCGGAAUUAUUGGGCGUAAAGGGCGCGUAGGCUGGUUAAUAAGUUAAAAGUGAAAUCCCGAGGCUUAACCUUGGAAUUGCUUUUAAAACUAUUAAUCUAGAGAUUGAAAGAGGAUAGGGGAAUUCCUGAUGUAGAGGUAAAAUUCGUAAAUAUUAGGAGGAACACCAGUGGCGAAGGCGUCUAUCUGGUUCAAAUCUGACGCUGAAGCGCGAAGGCGUGGGGAGCAAACAGGAUUAGAUACCCUGGUAGUCCACGCUGUAAACGAUGAAUGUUAAAUAUGGGGAGUUUACUUUCUGUAUUACAGCUAACGCGUUAAACAUUCCGCCUGGGGACUACGGUCGCAAGAUUAAAACUCAAAGGAAUUGACGGGGACCCGCACAAGCGGUGGAGCAUGUGGUUUAAUUCGAUGCAACGCGAAAAACCUUACCACUUCUUGACAUGAA
rnacentral:rRNA from 1 species